rnacentral:rRNA from 1 species
AUUGAACGCUGGCGGCAGGCCUAACACAUGCAAGUCGAACGAGUGGCGGACGGGUGAGUAAUGUCUGGGAAACUGCCUGAUGGAGGGGGAUAACUACUGGAAACGGUAGCUAAUACCGCAUACCAUCGGAUGUGCCCAGAGGGGAUUAGCUAGUAGGUGGGGUAAAGGCUCACCUAGGCGACGAUCCCUAGAGGGUCUGAGCGGAUGACCAGCCACACUGGAACUGAGACCGGGGCCAGACUCCUACGGGAGGCAGAAGUGGGGAAUAUGGCACAAUGGGCGCAAGCCUGAUGCAGCCAUGCCGCGUGUAUGAAGAAGGCCUUCGGGUUGUAAAGUACUUUCAGCUGGGAGGCGUUACCCGCAGAAUAAGCACCUGCUAACUCCCUUCCAGCAGCCGCGGUAAUAC